UGGGGAAUUUUGGACAAUGGGCGCAAGCCUGAUCCAGCCAUGCCGCGUGAGUGAAGAAGGCCUUCGGGUUGUAAAGCUCUUUCAGCCGGGAAGAAAAGGUUGCGAUUAAUAAUCGCAAUUGAUGACGGUACCGGAAGAAGAAGCACCGGCUAACUACGUGCCAGCAGCCGCGGUAAUACGUAGGGUGCGAGCGUUAAUCGGAAUUACUGGGCGUAAAGGGUGCGCAGGCGGUUUUGUAAGUCAGAUGUGAAAUCCCCGGGCUUAACCUGGGAACUGCGUUUGAAACUACAAGACUAGAGUGUAGCAGAGGGGGGUGGAAUUCCAUGUGUAGCAGUGAAAUGCGUAGAGAUAUGGAAGAACACCGAUGGCGAAGGCAGCCCCCUGGGUUAACACUGACGCUCAGGCACGAAAGCGUGGGGAGCAAACA
rnacentral:rRNA from 1 species